rnacentral:rRNA from 1 species
UACAGAGGGUGCGAGCGUUAAUCGGAAUUACUGGGCGUAAAGCGUGCGUAGACGGUUAUGUAAGUCAGAUGUGAAAGCCCCGGGCUCAACCUGGGAAUUGCAUUUGAGACUGCAUAGCUAGGGUGCGGAAGAGGGAAGCGGAAUUUCCGGUGUAGCGGUGAAAUGCGUAGAUAUCGGGAGGAACACCUGUGGCGAAAGCGGCUCACUGGACCACAACUGACGCUGAUGCACGAAAGCUAGGGGAGCAAACAGG